rnacentral:tRNA from 4 species
UCGGGGUGUAGCUUAGCCUGGUAGAGCGCUACGUUCGGGACGUAGAGGCCGGAGGUUCGAAUCCUCUCACCCCGACCAA